AUUGAACGCUGGCGGCAUGCUUUACACAUGCAAGUCGAACGGUAACAGGCCGCAAGGUGCUGACGAGUGGCGAACGGGUGAGUAAUGCAUCGGAACGUGCCCAGUCGUGGGGGAUAACGCAGCGAAAGCUGCGCUAAUACCGCAUACGAUCUCUGGAUGAAAGCGGGGGACCGAAAGGCCUCGCGCGAUUGGAGCGGCCGAUGUCAGAUUAGGGAGUUGGUGGGGUAAAGGCCCACCAAGCCAACGAUCUGUAGCUGGUCUGAGAGGACGACCAGCCACACUGGGACUGAGACACGGCCCAGACUCCUACGGGAGGCAGCAGUGGGAAAUUUUGGACAAUGGGCGCAAGCCUGAUCCAGCAAUGCCGCGUGCAGGAAGAAGGCCUUCGGGUUGUAAACUGCUUUUGUACGGAACGAAACGGUCCGGGCUGAUACCCUGGGCUAAUGACGGUACCGUAAGAAUAAGCACCGGCUAACUACGUGCCAGCAGCCGCAGUAA
rnacentral:rRNA from 1 species